rnacentral:lncRNA from 1 species
UAUCUCUUCAAAAGAUCUCAACCUCUCUAUAAAGACCCAUACCCCCUCCCUUGAUCUUCAUUGUACAGAAGAUUAAUAAACUCACACAAAACCCAUCUCAAACUAAACUUCAUCUUCUCUAAAAUACACACACCAAACAAACCCAGCACUCCCAUAUCUCACCCUCCCUCUCGAUUCCCCUCUGCCACACAAAAGAGCUUCAAACUAUUCAACACCCCACCCCUUCCUUCAACUAGUGUAACGGCCGAACACCACCACCGUCUGGUGGUGGCGACGCGUGGCGACAUCCGACAGCCCCUCCUCCCUCCGGCCACACACACACCUCAGAUACAGGCAGCGAAAGAGAGUGGCGGAGAAAAUAGACGGAGAUGAUGACACACACACCGGUGAUGGUGUCGGAUGCCGGCGGUGGGGGUUUUAUAGGUCAGAACAGAUCGAGAGUUAGAGAGAGAGUGUUGUAUCAGAGAGAGGGAGAGACUAAGGCGACGGAGAUGGGGCGGCGCCGCCGCUCACGGCGGCGACAGUGGUGAAGCCGGCGACGACAAAGGUGGGUGGUGGCAGGGAUUACGGCAACAGGAGUGGUGGUGGUGCUGUUCCGGUUCGGUUAAAAACCCAGAAGGUUCGAUUCUGAUUUGGUUUUGGUUCGGGUUCUUCAAAUGGGUUUCGAGUUAGAUGGUUCGGAUACGUAUCGGAUUUUCCUUUCGGGUCAAGUCUCGGGUCAGAUUCAUGCUCGGUCCUGAGUUGGUUCGGGUUCGGUUCACUUCUGGUUCAGACUUGGUUGGUUUAGUUGCUCGGGUUAUGUUACGGCUCGGGUCUCGGCUCGUUUGGGUUCAGUCAAACCUGGUCAAAUCUUGGUCAACGCUGGUCAAAGGAGUCAAACACAGUCAACAGCGGCUUCGGUUCGGGUCCGACAUAGUCAGAUUCAGUUUUGGUGCGGUUCGGGUCGACUCGGUCAAACCGAGUCAACUCGGUCAAACCUGGUCAACAUAGUGAGUUGACUCGGUCAACUCAACCGAUCAACUCGAUUGACCCUGUCAACUCAGCUAACUUUUCAGUUUUUCGACACGAAGAUUCGGAAUAUUGUAGAAUGCACGCUAGCGAGUCUCGUCUUGGAAACGACAUCACGAAGUCGUAUUUAGCUAGCUUUGCACAAGGCAAUUCAGGUGCUGUUAUUAAAUGAUCAUGAUGCAAACAUAGGAUUGGACGAGGGCCUUAGUGACAAUAAAAGAUGCAAGACUAGUUAAUUAAGUUAUGUUUCUUUGUUGAUAAGACAUUAUAACCUCUUUCAAUUUAAUAAAACAAAACUUC